AGGAUUCCCCUAGUAACUGCGAGUGAAGCGGGAAAAGCUCAAAUUUAAAAUCUGGCGGUCUUUUGGCUGUCCGAGUUGUAAUCUGGAGAAGCGUUUUCCGCGUCGGACCGUGUAUAAGUUCUCCUGGAAUGGAGCGUCAUAGAGGGUGAGAAUCCCGUCUUUGACACGGACCACCGAUGCUUUUGUGAUGCGCUCUCAAAGAGUCGAGUUGUUUGGGAAUGCAGCUCAAAAUGGGUGGUAAAUUCCAUCUAAAGCUAAAUACAGGCGAGAGACCGAUAGCGAACAAGUACCGUGAGGGAAAGAUGAAAAGCACUUUGGAAAGAGAGUUAAACAGUACGUGAAAUUGUUGAAAGGGAAACGCUUGAAGUCAGUCGCGUUGUCCGGGGAUCAACCUUGCUUUGGCUUGGUGUACUUCCCGGUUAACGGGUCAGCAUCAAUUUUGAUCGUUGGAUAAAGUCUAGUUGAAUGUGGCAUCCCUUGGGGUGUGUUAUAGCUUCUAGUCGCAUACAACGGUUGGGAUUGAGGAACUCAGCACGCCUUUAUGGUCGGGGUUCUCCCACGUAACGUGCUUAGGAUGCUGGCGUAAUGGCUUUAAACGACCCGUCUUGAAACACGGACCAAGGAGUCUAACAUGCCCGCGAGUGUUUGGGUGGAAAACCCGGACGCGUAAUGAAAGUGAAAGUUGAGACCUCUGUCGUGGAGGGCAUCGACGCCCGGACCAGACCUUCUGUGACGGAUCCGCGGUAGAGCGUGUAUGUUGGGACCCGAAAGAUGGUGAACUAUGCCUGAAUAGGGUGAAGCCAGAGGAAACUCUGGUGGAGGCUCGUAGCGAUUCUGACGUGCAAAUCGAUCGUCAAAUUUGGGUAUAGGGGCGAAAGACUAAUCGAACCAUCUAGUAGCUGGUUCCUGC
rnacentral:rRNA from 1 species